UGACCCCCUCUGCUGUGGAGCUGGUUUCUUUGACGAUGUUUCUGUUUUCUCUUCCAGACUGGGAGCUCCUGGAGCCUGGGGCUGACAUCAUAUUUAUAUGUGUAUUUCUUGUGCCUGGCCUAAUGCCUGCAUCUCAGAGGAACACCCAGUAACUAUUACAUUAACAAAUGACCUCAGAGACCAAGAAGGAGGAUAAAGCUCUUUCCAGGUCUAAAGGCAGGGUUGAAAAAGAGAGGGAGACAAUUACAGCCACUGCUUUCUGGCAGAAGACCCACCACGAAGUCCUGCAGUCCUGAGUUACACCACACCCUCAUGCACACACUACAAGUCCCACGGCUGCCUUCAUAUUUACAAUAUCCCUGUGGCCAGGGCCGUUUCCUGUGUUCGAUUUAGAUCUAUCAAUAGAACACACUCUGAGAGUUUCACUUUGUGCUUUGUUUUUCCUCUGUACUAACAACAUGAGUGUCCUUAUCACAGUCACACUUGCAGGCCCCCAACUCUUGCUCUCUCCUUCAGAUUUACUCAGGGCCACAGGAACCCACUGUCACUGAGUGUCUUUGCCAGAAAGCAGAGACUAUAAUUGUCUCCUCUGUUUCCAAAUCCUGGCUUUAUAUCAAGGAAAUUUGAUCCUCUCUUUUGGUCCAUGCACUUCUGUGUCUUUUUUCCUUAUUCUGUUGGUCUCUCUCUCUCUCUCUUUCUCUCCCUUUCUCCCUCUCUCUCUCCCUCUUUAUCCCUCUCCCCCCUUAUCCCUCUCCCCCUUUCUCUCUUCUCUCUCUCUCUCUCUCUCUUUCUCUUCAAGGACAGAAAAAUAUCACCAACUUUAAUCCGGACUAAUCUGCCCAUGUGUCCGCCAGGUCUCUAGAAGAUGCCGUGGGAAGAGAGAGCAGUGUUUGUGUUUGUCUUUGUGUUGGAAGAGGCACCAUCUGUGUGUGGGGGAGCAAACAUGAACCAGGGAACCUGCCAAACUCUACACAGGGAGGGGAAGGUGUGGAGUAUGCCAUCCAGAACCCAAUAGCUCCUGCUUCGAGGCUGCCCAAUGGGCCCAGAGCUCCUGGAAGGGUGGCUGCUUGGGCUGGCUGUGUGCAUUCAUGCUGAAGCAUUGCCUUUUUCUCCUUGAGUGCCUGCCAUUCAGAACCACUGGGAUGCAGAGGACACACACACACACCGGUGUUUCCAGCUGUGCCAGAGCCUGGAGCGUGUGAGCUCACAGAAGCCAGCCUUUGCCAACUCAGACCAGAUAUGACACUUUGCAGCAAAACAUUUGAUGCCUGCAGGCUUUGGGAACUGGCAGUGAUUCACAGACAGCAAGCAGGAUGCUGGACAUUGGUCAAACUUUGGCCCUGCACACCUUCUCCCACUACCAGUUAUGCUGGUGAGAAGACUACAGCUGUCACCGGGAAGAAAGAGCCUGCCUAAAAAUCAGAGGGCAACGAAACUGAAAGGAAAGACACAGAAGUCUAAUGGCAUCAACUGAGUGCCUGGGCCCAGCUAUUCCUGAUGAUUUACUCCUGGAGUUUCCGACUUUAUACACCGACACAUUCUCUUUUUUCUUAAGUUAUUUAGACGCGGUUUUCAAGUCACUUGUGACUUCAAAACUCCUGACUUUUACAAGUUCCUGCUUGCCUCUAGUCCAGCCCCGACAUUGUACUCCUGUCUUCAACUGUGUGUACCCUAAGUCCUUGCCUUAAUUUUCUACCUAUUUCUCUUGUGCUUCCAAGUCUGUAGCCUUAUCUUUAGGGCCAGCCUAUCCCUUCCCUCUUUCUAGAAAUCAAAUAGGAGGCAACAGCACCUUUCAGAAAACAAGAAUGGAAUCUCAAAGUCCCAACCUCUUUAUACUUUUCCCAUGAUCAGUCUGCAACAUUAAGACAAGGGAAAGUUUGAGCAAGGCAAAUGGCAUGAUCUGGACGUGGCAGGAAAAAAAUGGGACAGACUCCGUUCCAGUGCUUUGAAAAUCUGUUGGUUGUAAGAUCUGGAGAAGGAACUCAAGUUCCAAUAAAUGUCACUGAACAAAUUGUACGAUGUAUGGAGCUGCCUAAUGUUUCAUCUGUUUGGAUGAAAUGGUUGUCUUUAAAUAAGCUAGGUGCAAAGUUUCUAAUAACCACUGUUUUUCAGCAUGUCUCAGAGCUCAUGUUGUUAAUCAAGCAAGGUUAGCUUAUUUUUAUUGAGUAAAGGAUGUGUUAAGAAAGGAAUGGUUUUGCAUUUUAAGCAAAAUGGAUGAAUAAUGAAUGAAUUUUAAGUAAAUAAAUAAAACCUUUAAGUGACUGUUUCUCUUUCAGAGAAGUCAUUGAUGGAAGCUAUGUACUGAUUAUGAUGAUGCUGUCAUUACUCUCAACAUUCCUUCAAUUCCUACUGUGAAAGGCAACCCUCUUUAGGUUGUACAAAUUCUAGUUUGGUGGCUAAUUAAGCCAUGAUACUAGUUUGAGAUUUUUUAAAAUCUUCAUUCUCAUCUCUCCCUCUCCUAGUGUUUGAGGACUGAUCAUUCCUGAUCUUAGUAACAGAGUAAUUCAUGUUGGCAGGUGUCAUUUAAGCCCUCGUAGCUUGUAACUUCCUGACACAAUUUGGAGUUAGCCCAUUCUGGCAUUCUCCUGCUGGAUAUCACCUACAUUCUUAAAUCUUAAUGAUGUAAAAUUAUUCUACAUUUUUAAUGAUCCGUUGGAGCUGUUUCCUCCAAACCAUUAGCAAUACAAGAGGUAUAUAGGAAUUUGACUUAUUUACAAACUCUGUACUAUUCUUUCUAAACAGUUUCCAAGGAAUACAAAUGCACUACAUAUUGGUUACUAAAAACUGUUUGGGAAUUGGAUUCUUUAAAUAUUAUGAAGAAAUAGCUGAUUUUCUGCAAGUUUGACUUUUUCUCAAAAUGAAAGCAUGUGCACACACACACAGAGGUGCAAAAGCUCCCCAUCAGACAGAUGCAAGGCACCACUCCAUUAAGGCAGGCAGUGACUUGCUAAUGAUCUAUAUCAGCCCUCACCUAUAUGGUACCUACUAGCCACAUUUGUGACUAUCUAAAUUUAAGCUUACAUGAAUUCAAAUUGAAUACAAUUGAAAAUUCACUUCCUCAGCCUCACUAGGCACAUUU
rnacentral:lncRNA from 10 species